rnacentral:tRNA from 3 species
GUGGUUGUAGCUCAGUUGGUUAGAGCGCUGGAUUGUGGUUCCAGAGGUCGCCGGUUCGAACCCGGUCUUCCACCC